GUUAAAACUUUUAUUAAUAUUAUUUUGGACUUGUUUAAAAGUUGGAUUUUCAAAUUAUACAAAACAAUGGUGCACUAUAAAAGUAAAUUUCAAGAGACCAACAGUGUGUCCGAUACAGGGACCGCGCCAACUUAUUGUGAAAUUAGACAAUUUAAAUAAUAUUUUUUAAAAUUAGGGUAAAUUUUAUUGACUUUUCUUAAUGUUUUUGACAAAUAGUCACAAUCUUUGUGUAGUUAUAAAAAUAGUACCGAUUCCCCUUAAUUUUAAAAAUAUUGUUAAGAUUUUUUCUUGAAUCUAAUUUUUGAGUAAAAAUGAUAAAUAGCUUGACAAUAUUUUUGAGAAAUUCAAUAUUAUUUCUGAAACUAUAAGAUAAAUGACUUUAUUUGUCAAAAAUCUUAAUCUUAAGGGAUAUCAGUGAAAUUUACCCAUAAAACUAAGGAAGUUAUUGAUAUUUCAAAAUUAAUAAAUGAGAUAGCUAUACUUCACGUAAAGAUAAUAUAUUGGUCGUAUAUUGUACGUAGGGUGGUUAAAAAAUCCUGAAAUUGGGGGGGGGGGGGGGAUGAACCGGACCGAACCGAAUCAAACCGUGCCUUUUGGAUUGGUUCUUUGUUUAAUGGUUAGGUUCUGGUUUUUUCAAAAAAAUUAAGAACCGUAAAUUUGGUUCCGUUACCGAUUUUUGUUUUCAACCGUGGUUCGACCCGAACCGAACCGAUUAUAUAUAUAUAAUGUGUGUAUAUAUAUAGUAUAUAUAUACACAACCAUAUUUACUUAGAACCUACACCUAACGCUGUAAUUCCACCUAUCGGCGUGAUUAUUUUUUGAUUUCUCCCAACAAUAUUUUCAAUUCCCAUGGAUCUUAGGAUACUCUUUCCCCUUCCCAUCAAAAACCCGUCCAACCUUUUUCUCUAUUUCAGAUUUAUCAAUAUUGUGGAAAUUUAUUUCUCAUCACCAUUUUUUGAUAUCUACACUCCAAAAUAGGAGUGUAGAAAUCAAAUCAUAUGGUAUUGAUUUCUACACUCCUAUUUUGGGUGUAGAUAUCAAAAAAUGGAGUGUGAAAUAUUUCCCUAAUUUUUUUCUUUUAUUAUCCUUAAUGAAUUUCUUUUUCAGUUCAUCGUUUAUUCCUUUUUUUAUUGUUAUCCAUUAUAAAUUCUAAACGUUUAUGAGUAUUAAUUGCUAAUUUAGAGUGGUUGAAUAAUAUCAGUUAUGAGUCAAUCUCUGAACUAUUUAUUUACUAAAUUUUGGUUCCUGACUUAAAAUAUUAAUAAAAUUAUGAGUUAUUUUAACGAAUACUUUGUAAUUUUAUAUGUAUAAAAAUAUUUGGAAAUUUGAAUUGGAUUAAUUCGGACCGAGCCGCUAAAACGGAUUGAUUUUGAUUUGGUUCUAUAAUACUUGUAUGGUUAGGUUCCGAUUUUAUUUUUUUAAAUAACGGUAAACAUGGAUUGGUUUAUGGAUUCUUAUGGAACCCGACCAAUCCAGAUCAUGGACACCCCUAAUUGUACUUAAAAUUUCUCUGCAUACGUAUCCUACAUGAAAGCCAUAGGUGGACAUGGCAGACAACACAUUGCUGAGUCAGCAUGUCACAAUCACGGGCCCACCUGCUAUCUUGUCCCACCCGAUCCAGGGUGAAAGAAACGUCCGGCGCAUUUUAGAAUGAAGCAUCUAGCACGCCAAGGGCAGAAAUUAUUAACUACUGUAGGUCCUAUGCACUUUAUCAUAUGGUCCACGCAUUUGUCUCGCUCUAAUGUUGUGUUUCCAUUAUGUUUGGUAGAAGAAAAAAAAAAGUUGAAGAAAUGAAGGGUUAAUUAGUAUGGAUCUUACAUAUAGAAGAUUUUAUGUGAUACGUACUAUCAAGAAGUAAUUGUUUAGCCUAAUUUUUUUUAUUAGUUAAUGAACAAAAUUAACCUUAUUAAUUAGAUUUUAACAAUCUAUAACCCACAAUACACAAAUUACAUACAUUUCACCAUGUAGUAUUCAAAUUAAUUAGGAUUGACCUUAUAUAUAACAAACUGUGGGGUUAUGAGUACUUGAAUAGAUGGAGAGAAAUUGAAUAUAAACACAUGCGGUAGUGUAGUGAAGGUUGGAGUUAGUUGCUGGAAGCUGUUGGUUCCUGUACCGAACUACUAGGCAAUAAUUGUGAAAAUGAUUGGCGAAACUAUUUCAAAAAACUGCUCUUCAACUGCAAGUUACUGACACAAAAAUAUAACAUAGUAUCUAGAUCGAGUUUUAUUAAGUUAAGAGUACUGAAUUAUAUACUACUUUAAGACUAAGACUAACUUAUAUAAUAGUUCGACGCGUGCUUAAACGCGCCAACUGUCACGUCACUAGACAUAUUACAACUCGGCAAAUGCCUAGACACCUAAACUCGCUAACCGUUAUGUUAGUGAGUAGGGGGCUGACUCAGCCAUACUCUUCGGUUCUUGUUGGUGGCUAGUCAUCAUGUCGUCGAUGUCUCGGUCCAAACAUAGGGGCUAUUAGAAGAAAUUUCGCUGUAUUGGCUACCUUUUUGUCCUCUGAUGUGCCUUGAGAUUGUCGCCGACCAUUAUUCCUCGACCAAGUUUCGGCGCAAUGAUCCUAUUGAGCUUGCUAUACAGCGACAGCUCGACAGCGGUGCUUGUCCUAGCUCGGACAAAUCAAAUAUUCGGUAAUAUCUCGACCUAGCUCUGGCGCAGAAACCUCACCGACCUUGCUAUAUGGCGACAGUUUUACGAAAGUGUUUGCCCUAAUUCGAUCGAAACUAAUACUUGUUAUUUUAUAUACUAUCCCUUUCACAACCCUAUUAAUAUUUCGUUACGCUUUCCAUUUUAUUAUAUUCGUUAAGCUUUCAUUUCAUUGGGAUAUGUAUCUAGUAUGAAAUUACUAUUUUGUCAUUGCUAAAUAAUGAUUUUCCAAAUUAUUUCCAUUUUUUUUCAAUCUCAAAUAUGUAUAAAUUUCGAUCAUCAAAUCUAAUUAUUAUUACUUGUGAAAUUGUCCCUUUCAUUUCCAAAACAAGCUAAUUUUUGGAUUUUAAUGAUAUUUUAAAUUUUUAUUAUAUUUUUAAUUUUUCAACACAUCAUAAGUGGAGGAAUAAAAAAUAUAAAUAAAAUAAUACUCUUUACAAAAAAAAAAUCUAUAAUAUAAAUCACAAUUACGUUUGAAUUUUAAAUAUAUCUCACGCUAUCUACGGUUGAAAUUCAUUUAAAUUAAUCUAACAACUGAAAUUUCACUUGAAAUUAUUUUUUCCCGUCCAAAAAUAUCGCUUCUUUCUUCUCAAAAGAUGUGGGACUCAUAUAAGUUCUUAUUCAAUGGACAAAAAAUCUUUAAAGAUGGGCAUAUGUUUUAUCUAUUGAAUUAUUUUUUUAGUAAAAUGUCAGAAAAAAAAAUUAAAAUACCUCUUUUUUUUCCCUCAUUUUCUCCUAAACUAGUAACAAAUUUCAAAAUCCUUAUGUUUUCUUAAUUUGGUUCUCUUUUUGGUAGCACUAAUAUCUCUUCGUAUAUGCAUGUAAUGUACUUUAUAUCUGACGUUUUAUAUCGUAUCCGGUUUUUUAUGAUUUGUAAACUCUAAAUAAUUAUUUUUUUUACGUAGUGCCCGGCAUGGACAAUUAUUAAAUCCAUCAGAAAAUGUCAUAAAAAUAACAUUAUAAAAUAUAUUUAUAAAUAAAAUCAACUUUUACUAACUAUCAAAAUAAAAAACUCAUAUUCAAAUCAUCUAAAGAAAAAAACUCAUAUUCUAUCACAUUUCCCUUUUGUUUUGUGGCCUUCUUCUGAGAGCUGCUACGCGCCCCCCCUCUGACCAAAACCCCUCCUGACCCCACCCUCGAAAAUACCAUUAUGUCCCCUGCCUUGCCCUACCCCCGCAUCCCUCACUCUAAUCGCCGUUUUUUUUUUUUCCUUUCCUUUUUUAAUAAUUUUUUUUUUAAAAUUUUUUAUCAAAUAUUUUUUUUGGUUGUAGAUUUUGGGAGUUAUACUUAAAAAAAAAACCAAUCACACGUUGUCAAAUAUGUAAUAAUAAACAAAAAAAAAAAGAGAUCCAUGCAAAAUAUAAACGGAUACCUAUAUUAACUUUUAUUAAAAAUAUUAUUAAAAAUUUUAUACUUUUCAAGCGCCAUGUUGAACGAAAGAAUAUCAAACUAUAAAAAAUCUUGUUCAUUUUUUUAAUUUGUGUAUUUUUUUAGUUUUUGUUUUUUUUAAUCAUUUUUUUUAUAAUUGUACUCUUUAUUUAUUGUUAGUCGCAAUUUUUAGUGUCAUUAUUUAUUAAAUUAAAAAAAAAAUUAAAUCUAUAAAAAUGUUUAAAAACUGCAUCCGUCACAUCUUGAGAGGAGUAUUUAAAGGGAGGGUAGGUUGGUGAGUAAAUUUAAAAUGGGAGUUUUUGACAUGUGUCAAGGGUUGUGGGGUAAUUUAAAAAGGGAGUGAGAGGGUUUGACUAUUGUCAAGAGUUGUGGAUAAUUCAUCAUGGAGAGGAGGGUUCUGACAUGUUAAGAUUGGUGGAGAAUUCAAGAUGGAGUCGGUUCUGACUGUGUUCCAAACUUAAACCAAAAAACAAAUUAAUGAAAAAAACAAUAAACAAAAUUUGAUUAAAAUAAACAAACUAAUAAAGAACAAACACUAAGUCACAUAAAAAGGGGGUUCUGAAGAAGAAGAAAACAGCUCAAAAAAACAAGGGGUUAACUGAAAAAAAAAAGAAAAAGAAAGAGAGUUAAUUUGGUUGUGGGGAUGAGGGUGGAAAGUAUUUAUAGGAGAGGGGUAUAGCGUAAAGAACCGGGGACAUGAGGGGACGAGUGAGGGCUUUUCCGGGGAGGGGCGCGUAGCAAUUUCCCUUCUUAUUUAUCGGUCCCACCGCUAUCUAGAUAUUCCUUGAUCCUACAACGAUCAUCCAUCCAAUCUUCCUACCGUGGCAGAGCUGCGAGAUCCGCUGGCCAUUUUAGAACAAGCCAGCUGCAAACCCGAGGAGGAGAAAUUAUCCCGUGCCUUUGGCUUUGUUUGAAACCUAGAGUACUUUUCAUCUUCCCUUGUAUGGUUUAUAUUUUUAGAAAGAACACAUGAUAGAAUUUUCUUGUUUGGGGUAAUGUUUUUCUUAUCUGAUUUUGUUUUUUGAAUUUUCUUAUUUUUGAUAAAAUUUUUUUACAAUUUUGAUUAAAAUUUUAUACUUAUUUCAUUUGAUUAUCUUAUUAAGAACGAGUCUCAAAUAUCAUUUUUUUUUUAUUUAAUUUAUGAAAAAGUUCACUGAAUAUGAAAAAAAUUAUUUUAUCCCAAAUUAGAUGAAAAUUAUUUUACUAUUUUUUUUUAUAUUUUCGAACCCCUUCAUCAAGUAACAUAGGAAAAAUAUAAAAACAAAUUGAUCGGAGAAAAAGUUCAUUAAAAACGAAAAAAAUCUAAAUUUAAAGUAGUUAAAAAUUUUACCAAAACUUACCCCAAACGGGUUUUAUUUUUAAUAUUUUUUUCAAUUUUUUUAUGUUUCUUAUUUUUUCUUAUUUAUUUAAGUUUUUUCUCUUUUUUAUAUUUUUCUUCUCAUUUUCAUUCCAUUUUCUUAUAAAACCAAACAAGAAAGAAAAACACCAAAAUUUUAUUAUAAUAUUAUCUCAAUUACUUUUUCUACUUUUAUCUUCUUUGUUUUUUCUACAUCCACAAAUUGUUCCCUAAUAUAAUAUAAAUCAAAAUGUAAUUAUAUUUAUCCAGUGUUUUAAAAAUCGGACUGGAUUGACCGGUUCAACCGAUUGAACCGUCGAUCGGUCGAAUAAACAAUCGACGGUUAGGCGAACGUCACCUACCGAUUUCUUUUUCGAUCGAUUUCUUUUCCGAUUCGCUCAGCAAUCCGAUUUUCAAAAUAAAAUAUUGUAUUCAUCUAGUUGACAAUUUUGGCAAAUGUCACCUACCAUUCUAUUGAUAUAAAAAAAUUAUGAGUUUUACUGCUUUAAAUGGGCACACUUCUCCACCAAUAAUGUGGUGAGCGAACGUAACUGCGUAAUAUUUUCACUUCAAAGCUAAUAUUGGGGCCCAUCAUAAAAAAAAAAUGAACAUUUCAUAAUUUACAAAAGUAGAGGGGACCAAAAUGAAACCCCAAAAAGUUUCUUUCACUUUUCUUCUCAGCUCCCAAUAUUUCCCUUUUUCACGUUCUAAGCCCUACAUUAAAAGCUCAGGCUGCAACGACGAAUAGUAGUUCGCCACGUCAUCAUCCAACUCCCAAAACCCAUCACACGCCGUGAUCUCAUCCCCACCGUUGAUUCCCCCCUCAUCCCCACCGUCCGUUCGAUUGGGUAUCCCAAGCUCGUCAUCGGACGCUUCAAGCAGGUGCCUCAUGAACAUCUCUCUCUCAUCCUCCUCUUCCUCCCCCUUCCGGGUCGGAUCCGAAUCGUCUAUCGGGUCGGACUCGGAUCUGGGCAACGGGUCACAGGAGAGUUCUCGUUGGAGGGUGGUGAGGCAUUGAGUGAAAGUCUUGGUUGGUUCGUCGUCCUUCGUCUUCGUCUUCGAGGAAAGAGGAAGUUCUUGUCGAUUUUUGGCGUUCAGGUCUUCAACAAUUUUGGGUUUUUCUUCUCUCUCUCUUUCUUCUCUCCUCUCUGGCGUUUUAGAGAUGGGUUUUGCUCCUGGCUAGAGAGAGAGGAGAGGGGAAUAGAUGGAUGAGGAAGAGAGUGGGGGGAGUGAGAGGAUUCUCUAGAGGGAGAAGGAAAUCGAAAUUGAGAGCAAUAAUGCAAAAACAGUCGUACUAUUGGUAGCUUUAUGUGCUAUAUGGCUGCCUUUAUUAUUUUUGCCCAGUUUUGGCAGCAGUUUCUUUUUUUCCCUUUCGUUUGUUUUUUUUUGUUGUUGAAGUUUUUUUGCUUUAAAAAAAAAUUUUAAUAUUUUUUAAAAUAUUUUUUUUGAUUUCUUGGUUUUUGAAUUUAUUUGUUUUUAGUGAAUUUUUUCGUUAUUUGAUCAAACUUUAUCUUUUCAUAUUCCUAUCGAGGAAAGGAGUCCGAAUAUAUAAAAACAUUUCCAUUCGAAAAAUUUAAUGCAGAAUGAAAAAACUUUUAUCUUUUUUGAUUUCUCGUCAAAAGAAGAUUAAAAAUAUAAAACUUUUUUAAAACCAGAAAAAAACUUAUUAAAAUAAAAACCAAUAGAAUCCAUAACCAAACCUGGCCGGUUUGGUGUAAGUUUCUUUUGUGAUUUUUUGAUAUUUUAAAAACCAACGUUUUUUUUUUUAUGUUUGGGGAUAGUUUUUUUUUUUUAUAAGUUUUUAAUGUGAUUGUGAGGUAUGUUACCAAAAAUCUUUGGAUACACCAAAACCCCCAACUUGGUUUUCUCUAUCUGUUCUAAUUUACUUCAAAAUACCAAAAGUUUACCAAAUUAGAUUUUUCAUCUAUUUUUGUUUAGCUGUUGUGGUUUAAAUGUUUUCAACUCUAAAGUAUUUUUUAAUUAUUUAAUCUAGAAUUUAUAUUUUUUGGUUUCUAUUAAAAUUUUUAUCCAUUUUUUUUAAAAUUAGUAAAACUAAAAAUUUAUUUUUACUCGACAAAUUGGAUAAAUAUUUUUGUCUUUACUGAAUUUCUUUUCAAA
rnacentral:lncRNA from 1 species